GCCCUUAGAGUUUGAUCAUGGCUCAGGACGAACGCUGGCGGCGCGCUUAACACAUGCGAGUUGAACGCUCCGCCCUCUACUGCCCUUCGGGGCAGAAGAGGAUUACGGAGAGUAGCGGACGGGUAAGUAACGCGUAGGUAACCUGCCCUGGAGAGGAGGAUAACUCUGCGAAAGCGGAGCUAAUCCUCCAUAUGUUAGGGCACCGUAAGAUGCCUUAAUGAAAGGCGGCAUUAAGCCGUCGUUUCAGGAUGGGCCUGCGUCGGAUUAGCUAGCUGGUAGGGUAAAGGCCUACCAGGGCGACAAUCCGUAGCUGGUCUGAGAGGACGAUCAGCCACACUGGGACUGAGACACGGCCCAGACUCCUACGGGAGGCAGCAGUGGGGAAUCUUCCGCAAUGGGCGCAAGCCUGACGGAGCGACGCCGCGUGAGUGAAGAAGGCCUUCGGGUCGUAAAGCUCUGUCAGUGGGGAAGAAGGCAGUCAUCAAGAAAAGGGUGACUGUUGACGGUACCCGCAAAGGAAGCCCUGGCCAACUACGUGCCAGCAGCCGCGGUAACACGUAGAGGGCAAGCGUUGUCCGGAAUUACUGGGCGUAAAGGGCGCGCAGGCGGCAAGGCAAGUCGGGUGUGAAAACCUGGGGCUUAACCCCAGGCGUGCAUUCGAAACUGUCUUGCUUGAGGACAGCAGAGGGAAACGGAAUUCCUGGUGUAGUGGUGAAAUACGUAGAUAUCAGGAGGAACACCAGUGGCGAA
rnacentral:rRNA from 1 species